UUAUUUAAUGGCCGCGGUAUUUUGACCGUGCAAAGGUAGCAUAAUCAUUAGUCUAUUAAUUGUGGACUUGUAUGAAUGGUUGGACGAAAUAUUAUCUGUCUCAUUAAUAUUAAUAUAAUUUAAAUUUUUAGUUAAAAUGCUUAAAUUUUAUUAUAGGACGAGAAGACCCUAUAGAUCUUUAAUAUUUUAUUUAUAUUAUUUUUUGGUUUAUUUUUUUAAUUUAUAUAUGAUUUUUUGGUUGGGGUGACAUGAAGAAUAUAAUUUGAACUCUUUAUUUUAUUUUACAAUAAUUUUUGAUUUAUUGACCUUUUAUUAAUGUUAUAAGAAAAAGAUACCUUAGGGAUAACAGCGUAAUUCUUUUUGAGAGUUCAUAUCGACAAAGGAGAUUGCGACCUCGAUGUUGGAUUAAGAUUAUAAUUAGGUGUAGAUGUUUAAUUAUUAGGUCUGUUCGACCUUUAAAUUCUUACAUGAUCUGAGUCA
rnacentral:rRNA from 1 species